CAGCCGCCGCGGUAAUACGGAGGGUGCAAGCGUUAAUCGGAAUUACUGGGCGUAAAGCGCACGCAGGCGGUCUGACAAGUCAGAUGUGAAAUCCCUGAGCUUAACUUAGGAAUUGCAUUCGAUACUGGGAAGCUAGAGUAUGGGAGAGGAUGGUAGAAUUCCAGGUGUAGCGGUGAAAUGCGUAGAGAUCUGGAGGAAUACCGAUGGCGAAGGCAGCCAUCUGGCCUAAUACUGACGCUGAGGUACGAAAGCAUGGGGAGCAAACAGGAUUAGAUACCCGCGUAGUCCCUGUCUCUUAUAC
rnacentral:rRNA from 1 species